GGCGACGUAGCCAAGUGGUAAGGCCGAAGUCUGCAACACUUCUAUCAGCGGUUCGAUUCCGCUCGUCGCCUCCA
rnacentral:tRNA from 1 species